GAAUUCAAAAAUGGAGGCCAAGCACUUUGGUCCCUUUCGAUUCAGGUAAAAUUUCGUUUUUGAUGCCAUUUGCAUGCCAAUAGCUUCAUUUAAUGGGAACAUUAGGUUAACUUGUCUUUUCCUCUAUUAAUCAGACAAUUACGAUAUCUGUCCUUUUUUCCAUUACCAUUUUAUACUUUUUUUUCACAAUUUCUCUAAUCUAACCUACCACUUAAUAUAACUCUCUUUCUCCAUCCUUCAUCAAUGCUAUAAUUCAUUUUCUC
rnacentral:lncRNA from 1 species